rnacentral:rRNA from 1 species
GCGCGAAAACUCUACAAUGCAGGCAACUGCGAUAGGGGAACAUCGAGUGGCACCCACCAUGGGUGUCUGUCCAGCCGUCUAAAAAACGGCUGUUAGCAAGGGCCGGGCAAGACCGGUGCCAGCCGCCGCGGUAAUACCGGCGGCUCGAGUGGUGGCCGAUAUUAUUGAGUCUAAAGGGUCCGUAGCCGGCUUUGCAAGUCCCCUGGGAAAUCCAGCGGCUUAACCGUUGGGCUUUCAUGGGAUACUACAUUGCUUGGGACUGGGAGAGGUAGGAGGUACUCAGGGGGUAGGG